UCGUGUAUGGACUGGAUUAUGGCGAUUUAGAUUUUAGGCGCAUUUCUGGUAUCAUGUUGCAUGUGUGUUUUGGCCAGUUUUGCAAUUAGAAAUAAUGUUUUAUAAUUCGCUUAUUAAAUAGUAUUGAAUAAUGGAUAUAAAACCCGAGAAGAUACAGUGCACGUGUAGAUCUGCGUUUCCAAACAAUCAAGUUUCUGCUAAUGAAAGCAGUAGCAACUGUAAAAGACUCUCCUAUUUAUCAUGGAAUGAUUAUUUUAUGUCAGUGGCCGUUCUAUCUUCGAUGCGAAGUAAAGAUCCUAGAAGUCAAGUAGGUGCUUGUAUUGUAAACAAAGAUAAAAGAAUUGUUGGUGUGGGAUAUAACGGUUUUCCGGUAGGUUGUAGUGAUAGCGAAUUCCCUUGGACUGAAGAUGUUGAUGACGAAUUGAAGUCCAAGAACAUUUAUGAGAAGUUAAAUAUAUCUAAUUUAAACUGUUUAGUAUGCCACGCAGAAGUGAACGCUAUUAUGAACAGGAAUUCGUAUGAUUUAAAAGAAUGUACUUUGUACGUUGCUAACUUUCCGUGCAAUGAGUGUGCCAAAGUGAUUAUUCAGUCAAGCAUUACAACUAUUUUUUACAUGUCCGAUAGAGAUUCUCACAAUAUCAGAAUAGUGGCAGCGAAGAAAAUGUUUGAUGCUGCGAAAGUUGAAUAUAGACAAUAUGUACCAAGUAGCGGAAAAUUCGCAAUCGACUUCAGUAAAAUCAAUUUGAAUCAAGUAAAUCAACUACCUUCAUCUCCAGGAAAAAGUGAAAUCUCUUCCAAUGAUAACGAAGAAGUUGCUUGUAACUGCCAGUCGCCUAUAAUAAAAAGUCAAAUUCCACCAAUCUGCGAACAGUUUGGAAAUGCCUUAAAAUUAAGCGAAACAAAAUUUGGUAAAAGACAAUCUUAUUUGUCUUGGGACGAUUAUUUUAUGGCUAUGGCUUUUCUUUCCGCAAUGCGCAGUAAAGAUCCCUGUACUCAAGUAGGAGCUUGCAUAGUAAAUGAAAGUAAAGUCGUAGUGAGCAUAGGAUACAAUGGAUUUCCUAAAGGAUGCAGUGAUGACGAAUUUCCAUGGUCGAAAAAUGUUCCAGAUAAAUUGCAGUCCAAGUAUCUUUAUGUUUGUCAUGCGGAAGUGAAUGCUAUUCUGAACAGGAAUUCCCGCGACGUAAAAAACUGUACGCUUUAUGUUGCUUUAUUUCCUUGCAAUGAAUGUGCGAAGGUGAUAAUUCAGUCUGGAAUAAAAACAGUUUUGUUUCUUUCUGACAAACAUGCCCAUAAAGUCGGGACGAUAGCCGCGAAGAGAAUGUUCGAUGCUGCCAAAGUGGAAUACAGGCAAUAUGUACCCUCUAGUUUAGUAAUGGAAAUCGACUUAUCUCCGAUAAAAGGUUGAAAAACUAGAAUAAAUAUUCAUUUUACACCAUUUUCGAUUUUCGUUACCAUGAAAGAAUUCUUCAUAACAUGUAAAAGUAUAGUUUCAAACGUCCAGACAGAAUCUCACCAGGAUGCUAUUGCAGAAAAUAAUACUCCCUUCGCAAGAAAAGUCUUCAAAUAUUUACACUGCAUGCAUGAAAGAGGUUGAUGCGCUGUCUAUAUAUUUGCCGAACGCGGCUUUCGCUUAAAUUUUAAAUUAUGAUGAGGGAUCCCGCUCAAAGAUGUCAUUGCUCCUGAUAUAGGUUACUGUAUUUAGUUCAGAAGCAAAAGAAAAAGAGAGGUCCUGGUGUUGGUCUUUGUCUUUUCCCUUUUUCAAGAAUGUCUUCCAAAAGAUUUUUAUCCGUGACGACACUCUUGGUGUUGCUACGUUUCCGGUAGCCAAACUUUCCGAUUAGUUUCAAAUGGUUUUUUGGUGAAUUUGCCCUCGAUGAUCCGAAAAAAUUUUAUUUCACUUGGUUGUUCAAGUUUUGCUUCAACGUCUCGUGUCGACUUCGCAGUGCCCUAAUUAAGGAACCAAAUACGUUAAACACUUCAGUCCGAGUAUUUGUAAUUAUACCAUUGUGGACUUACCAAAUUCAUCCAACGGAAACAAACCGUAAGGGCGAAUGGAGAGAUCGACGCUCACAACCCGACGGGCGCGUUUAGCAUUUUUCCUGGAGGAACCUUCUGGACGAUACUACUUGAUCCGUUUUAUUUAAACUACGUUAGUGGUUGCGGGUAAGGAAAUUUUGUGUAGUAAAGUAUUUUAAUGGAACAUGUAUGAACGGGUGACAGUUUAUAUGUUAAAAUAAAUUCUGCUGAGGUUUCAGUUUGA